UACGGGGUAGGCGCGACGUUUGUCCGGAAUUAUUGGGCGUAAAGAGCUCGUAGGCGGCUUGUCACGUCGGGUGUGAAAUCCCUCGGCUUAACCAAGGAAGUGCAUCCGAAACUGCUGAGCUUGAGUACUUAAGAGGAUCGCGGAAUUCCCGGUGUAGAGGUGAAAUUCGUAGAUAUCGGGAGGAACACCAGUGGCGAAGGCGGCGAUCUGGGAAGAUACUGACGCUGAGGUGCGAAAGCGUGGGGAGCAAACAGGG
rnacentral:rRNA from 1 species